rnacentral:rRNA from 1 species
CCUACGGGAGGCAGCAGUGGGGAAUAUUGCACAAUGGGGGAAACCCUGAUGCAGCGACGCCGCGUGAGUGAAGAAGUAAUUCGUUAUGUAAAGCUCUAUCAGCAGGGAAGAAAAUGACGGUACCUGAGUAAGACGCCCCGGCUAACUCCGUGCCAGCAGCCGCGGGAAUACGUAGGGGGCAAGCGUUAUCCGGAUUUACUGGGUGUAAAGGGAGCGUAGACGGCAGUGCAAGGCGGGAGUGAAGGGCGGGGGCUCAACCCCCGGACUGCUCUGGAAACUGUACGGCUGGAGUGCAGGAGAGGUAAGUGGAAUUCCUAGUGUAGCGGUGAAAUGCGUAGAUAGUAGGGAACACCAGUGGCGAAGGCGGCUUACUGGACUGUAACUGACGUUGAGGCUCGAAAGCGUGGGGAGCAAACAGGAUUAGAUACCCGUGUAGUC